UGGUGUAGCGGUGAAAUGCUUAGAUAUCACGAAGAACUCCGAUUGCGAAGGCAGCUCACUAGACUGUUACUGACACUGAUGCUCGAAAGUGUGGGUAUCAAACAGGAUUAGAUACCCUGGUAGUCCACACAGUAAACGAUGAAUACUCGCUGUUUGCGAUAUACAGUAAGCGGCCAAGCGAAAGCAUUAAGUAUUCCACCUGGGGAGUACGCCGGCAACGGUGAAACUCAAAGGAAUUGACGGGGGCCCGCACAAGCGGAGGAACAUGUGGUUUAAUUCGAUGAUACGCGAGGAACCUUACCCGGGCUUAAAUUGCAGAUGAAUUACGGUGAAAGCCGUAAGCCGCAAGGCAUCUGUGAAGGUGCUGCAUGGUUGUCGUCAGCUCGUGCCGUGAGGUGUCGGCUUAAGUGCCAUAACGAGCGCAACCCUUGUUGUCAGUUACUAACAGGUUCCGCUGAGGACUCUGACAAGACUGCCAUCGUAAGAUGUGAGGAAGGUGGGGAUGACGUCAAAUCAGCACGGCCCUUACGUCCGGGGCUACACACGUGUUACAAUGGGGGGUACAGAAGGCAGCUACCUGGUGACAGGAUGCUAAUCCCAAAAACCUCUCUCAGUUCGGAUCGAAGUCUGCAACCCGACUUCGUGAAGCUGGAUUCGCUAGUAAUCGCGCAUCAGCCAUGGCGCGGUGAAUACGUUCCCGGGCCUUGUACACACCGCCCGUCAAGCCAUGAAAGCCGGGGGUACCUGAAGUACGUAACCGCAAGGAGCGUCCUAGGGUAAAACUGGUAAUUGGGGCUAAGUCGUAACAAGGUAGCCGUACCGGAAGGUGCGGCUG
rnacentral:rRNA from 1 species